rnacentral:rRNA from 1 species
GAUAAACGCUGGCGGCGUGCAUGAGACAUGCAAGUCGAACGAGUGACUUAGGGCUGCUCUAAGUCGCUAGUGGCGGACGGCUGAGUAACGCGUAGGUGACCUACCCCGAAGCGGGGAAUAACUGCCCGAAAGGGUGGCUAAUACCGCAUGUGAUCGGUCAUUCAUUUGAUUGAUCAAAGCAGAAAUGCACUUUGGGAGGGGCCUGCGUCCGAUUAGCUCGUUGGUGGGGUAAUGGCUCACCAAGGCGACGAUCGGUAGGUGGUCUGAGAGGACGAUCACCCAGACUGGGACUGAGACACAGCCCAGACUCCUACGGGAGGCAGCAGUCGGGAAUUUUGCUCAAUGGGGGAAACCCUGAAGCAGCAACGCCGCGUGAGGGAUGAAGGCCUUCGGGUUGUAAACCUCUUUCCUCAGGGACGAUGAUGACGGUACCUGAGGAAUAAGCCACGGCUAACUACGUGCCAGCAGCCGCGGUAA